GAUCAGGAGAAAUUAAACCUUGCUUCCAGUCUUUAUUUGCGAUUGUCUUGUACUUUUCUUUCAAAUUUAACAAAAUCUUCUCUUCUUCAUCAAUACUGGCUUCGUCUGCUCCAAAAAUUUUUAAUUCUCGUACAAUACUUCAAGGAUGAAGUGAUUGGAAAAACAAUUGCCAUUGAAGCAGUGCUUUUUGCUGGCGGAACUACACCGGGCUUCCAAUCUUGACCUGUUUUAGUAAAUAAGCAUCAGGUCAAGAGAGCAUAUGGUGAUAUUUGAUGUGCUGUCUACAAACGCAGUCAAAAGAACAUUGAAUAAGUGACGCAAGCAAAGUGCUGUAUAGUUCUUUCAUCGUCGCUAUAAGAGACGGGAAGGAUAUUCGGAUGUCGUAGGUAUCGUACGAAAGUAAAUUGAAGAUUUAACUCUCAAAUUUAUACCCCCUUUCUCUACCUUGAAAUUCAGUUUAACCUAAUUAAAAAAUUUUUCCGUUGUAGUUUUUACUAUCACUUAAUUUUUUGAAUAUUUUUUAUUCAUUUCCUUUUUUUUUAAACUGUUGAAUUUUAUUCCUAAACAUUUAUGCUAUUUAUGCUAUUAAUGUAAGUAUUACUUCCGAAUUUAAUUGUUAUUUCUAUGUUCAUACAACCAUGAAGUAAAAUGAUAUAAUUUUUUGGAUUUCAAUUCUUAUUAAAGGUCGUUAAUAAUACUUUUUAAAACAGAAUUAUGCAUUAUUUUUUAAUACGGCUGUUUAAAAA